AUGCAUGUCUAAGAACAUAUGUGUAAACAUGAAUCUGCGAACGGCUCAUUAUUAACACCCGUAAUCUACCCAGUCUUCGUAUCCAAAACGGAUAUCUGCGUUAAUUUUGGAGCUAAAACGUGCACCAAAGCACCGCCAGCAAUGGUAGUGCGCACUUAUUAGUUUAAGGCCGAUUGGGGCAACCCUCUUGGUGACUCUGAAUAAUUUUGCGGAUCGCAUGGUCUUGUACCGGCGACGUACUGGUCGAGCGGGUGCCCUAUCANCUAUUGAUGGAAGUCUAUGUGUCUUCCAUGGUUGUAACGGGUAACGGAGAAUAAGGGUUCGACUCCGGAGAGCUAGCCUUAGAAACGGCUAUGACA
rnacentral:rRNA from 1 species